rnacentral:rRNA from 1 species
AGAGUUUGAUCAUGGCUCAGGAUGAACGCUGGCGGCGUGCUUAACACAUGCAAGUCGAACGAACCUUCGGGUUAGUGGCGGACGGGUGAGUAACGCGUGGGAAUCUGCCCUCAGGAGGGGGAUAACGGUUGGAAACGGCCGCUAAUACCCCAUAUGCCGAGAGGUGAAAUGAAUUUCGCCUGAGGAUGAGCCCGCGUCUGAUUAGCUAGUUGGUGAGGUAAGAGCUCACCAAGGCAUCGAUCAGUAGCUGGUCUGAGAGGAUGAUCAGCCACACUGGGACUGAGACACGGCCCAGACUCCUACGGGAGGCAGCAGUGGGGAAUUUUCCGCAAUGGGCGAAAGCCUGACGGAGCAACGCCGCGUGAGGGAUGAAGGCCUCUGGGCUGUAAACCUCUUUUAUCAAGGAAGAAGAUCUGACGGUACUUGAUGAAUAAGCCACGGCUAAUUCCGUGCCAGCAGCCGCGGUAAUACGGGAGUGGCAAGCGUUAUCCGGAAUUAUUGGGCGUAAAGCGUCCGCAGGCGGCCCUACAAGUCUGCUGUUAAAAAGUGGAGCUUAACUCCAUCAUGGCAGUGGAAACUGUUGGGCUUGAGUGUGGUAGGGGCAGAGGGAAUUCCCGGUGUAGCGGUGAAAUGCGUAGAUAUCGGGAAGAACACCAGUGGCGGAAGGCGCUCUGCUGGGCCAUCACUGACGCUCAUGGACGAAAGCCAGGGGAGCGAAAGGGAUUAGAUACCCCUGUAGUCCUGGCCGUAAACGAUGAACACUAGGUGUCGGGGGAAUCGACCCCUCCGGUGUCGUAGCCAACGCGUUAAGUGUUCCGCCUGGGGAGUACGCACGCAAGUGUGAAACUCAAAGGAAUUGACGGGGGCCCGCACAAGCGGUGGAGUAUGUGGUUUAAUUCGAUGCAACGCGAAGAACCUUACCAGGGUUUGACAUCCUGCGAAUCUCUUGGAAACUUGAGAGUGCCUUCGGGAGCGCAGUGACAGGUGGUGCAUGGCUGUCGUCAGCUCGUGUCGUGAGAUGUUGGGUUAAGUCCCGCAACGAGCGCAACCCACGUCUUUAGUUGCCAGCAUUUAGUUGGGCACUCUAGAGAGACCGCCGGUGAUAAACCGGAGGAAGGUGUGGAUGACGUCAAGUCAUCAUGCCCCUUACAUCCUGGGCUACACACGUACUACAAUGCUACGGACAAAGGGCAGCAAGUUCGCGAGGACAAGCAAAUCCCAUAAACCGUAGCUCAGUUCAGAUCGUAGGCUGCAACUCGCCUACGUGAAGGAGGAAUCGCUAGUAAUCGCAGGUCAGCAUACUGCGGUGAAUACGUUCCCGGGCCUUGUACACACCGCCCGUCACACCAUGGAAGUUGGCCACGCCCGAAGCCGUUACUCCAACCCUUGUGGAGGAGGACGUCGAAGGUGGGGCUGAUGACUGGGGUGAAGUCGUAACAAGGUAACCGUA